UACGGAGGAUGCAAGCGUUAUCCGGAAUGAUUGGGCGUAAAGCGUCCGCAGGUGGCAAUGUAAGUCUGCUGUUAAAGAGUCUAGCUCAACUAGAUAAAAGCAGUGGAAACUACAUAGCUAGAGUACGUUCGGGGCAGAGGGAAUUCCUGGUGUAGCGGUGAAAUGCGUAGAGAUCAGGAAGAACACCAGUGGCGAAGGCGCUCUGCUGGGCCGUAACUGACACUGAGGGACGAAAGCUAGGGGAGCGAAUGGG
rnacentral:rRNA from 1 species